rnacentral:rRNA from 1 species
CAAGUCGAACGAUGAAGUUCCUUCGGGAAUGGAUUAGUGGCGAACGGGUGAGGAACACGUGAGAAACCUGCCUUUCAUUCUGGGAUAACACCGGGAAACCGAUGCUAAUACCGGAUACUCCGUCUUGGCGGCAUCGCCGAGCCGGGAAAAAAUUUUGAUGAAAGAUGGUCUCGCGGCCUAUCAGCUAGUUGGUGAGGUAAUGGCUCACCAAGGCGACGACGGGUAGCCGGCCUGAGAGGGCGACCGGCCACACUGGGACUGAGACACGGCCCAGACUCCUACGGGAGGCAGCAGUAGGGAAUAUUGGGCAAUGGGCGCAAGCCUGACCCAGCGACGCCGCGUGAGGGAUGAAGGUCUUCGGAUUGUAAACCUCUUUCAGUAGGGAAGAAGCGAAAGUGACGGUACCUAAAGAAGAAGCACCGGCUAACUAUGUGCCAGCAGCCGCGGUAAUACAUAGGGUGCAAGCGUUGUCCGGAAUUAUUGGGCGUAAAGAGCUCGUAGGUCGUUUGUCGCGUCGAUUGUGAAAAUCUGAGGCUCAACCUCAGACCUGCAGUCGAUACGGGCAAACUAGAGUGUGGUAGGGGAGACCGGAAUUCCUGGUGUAGCGGUGGAAUGCGCAGAUAUCAGGAGGAACACCAAUGGCGAAGGCAGGUCUCUGGGCCAUAACUGACACUGAGGAGCGAAAGUGCGGGGAGCGAACAGGAUUAGAUACCCUGGCAGUCCGCACCGUAAACGGUGGGCACUAGUUGUGGGAACCUUCCACGGUUUCCGCGACGCAGCAAACGCAUUAAGUGCCCCGCCUGGGGAGUACGAUCGCAAGAUUAAAACUCAAAGGAAUUGACGG